rnacentral:rRNA from 1 species
AGGACGAACGCUGGCGGCGUGCUUAACACAUGCAAGUCGAGCGGUAAGGCCCUUUCGGGGGUACACGAGCGGCGAACGGGUGAGUAACACGUGAGUAAUCUGCCCUCCACUUGGGGAUAAGCUUCGGAAACGGGGUCUAAUACCUGAUACGACAACUACCUGCAUGGGUUGGUUGUGGAAAGUUUUUUCGGUGGGGGAUGUGCUCGCGGCCUAUCAGCUUGGUUGGUGGGGUAAUGGCCUACCAAGGCUUCGACGGGUAGCCGGCU